rnacentral:rRNA from 1 species
GUAGUCUUGGCCCUAAACUAUGUUCACUAGGUGUUGGGAGUUAUCUUUCAGUGCCGCAGCUAACGCAUUAAGUGAACCGCCUGGGGACUACGGCCGCAAGGUUGAAACUCAAAGGAAUUGGCGGGGGCCCGCACAAGCGGUGGAGCAUGUGGCUUAAUUCGAUGCAACGCGAAGAACCUUACCAGGGCUUGACAUGUACCUGCAAGCCGCCGAAAAGCGGUCGCCUUCGAGGGUGGUACACAGGUGGUGCAUGGCUGUCGUCAGCUCGUGUUGUGAAAUGUUGGGUUAAGUCCCGCAACGAGCGCAACCCUCAUGUUUUGUUGCCAGCGGUUAAAGCCGGGAACUCGAAACAAACUGCCUCUGUAAGGAGGA